rnacentral:rRNA from 1 species
UACGGGGGGGGCAAGCGUUGUUCGGAAUUACUGGGCGUAAAGGGCUCGUAGGCGGCCAACUAAGUCAGACGUGAAAUCCCUCGGCUUAACCGGGGAACUGCGUCUGAUACUGGAUGGCUUGAGGUUGGGAGAGGGAUGCGGAAUUCCAGGUGUAGCGGUGAAAUGCGUAGAUAUCUGGAGGAACACCGGUGGCGAAGGCGGCGAUCCUGGACCAAUUCUGACGCUGAGGAGCGAAAGCCAGGGGGAGCAAAACGGG